GGGGAAUAUUGCGCAAUGGGGGAAACCCUGACGCAGCAAUACCGCGUGAGUGAAGAAGGUUUUCGGAUCGUAAAGCUCUGUUAUUGGGGAAGAAAAAAAGACGGUACCCAAGAAGAAAGUCCCGGCUAACUACGUGCCAGCAGCCGCGGUAAUACGUAGGGGACAAGCGUUGUCCGGAUUUACUGGGCGUAAAGGGCACGCAGGGCGGUUUUUUAAGUCAGAUGUGAAAGGUACCGGCUCAACCGGUAACAUGCAUUUGAAACGAAAGACUUGGGUGAUUGGGGAGCAAAUGGAAUUCCCAGUGUAGCGGGGAAAUGCGGAGAUAAUAAGGGGGACCCCGGGUGGCGAGGCGGGUUGCUGGGAAAAUACUGACGGUGGGGGGCGAAAACGUUGGGAGCAAACA
rnacentral:rRNA from 1 species